GAGCCCAGCGCAGAACCUCCCGGGCCACCCGGCCUGCGGCGGAAUGUUGCGUAAAGGGAAAGGUCGUAGUCAAACCCUUCAGCCACGCGAGCGCUAAGUCAGCCACGAAUAGGCUAUCCCAACUAACGGAGGGAAAGACUCCAUGGAGGGUGUAAGACCCGUGUGGGCGCGUGUCAAUGCUGAAUGGGGUCGGCCUCUUUUCCCUGAGAGUCGCGUUGCUUGGGCAUGCAGCGCUAAGCAGGUCGUAAACUCGAUCUAAGGCUAAAUAUAUCCACAGGACCGAUAGCGAACAAGUACCGUGAGGGAAAGUUGAAAAGCACUCUGAAGAGAGAGUCAAAAGACCGUGAAACCGCUCAGAGUAUAAGCCCAUGGAGCUUGGAAGGCAUACGCUAUGAAAACGGCACACUCUCGGGUGUGCUUGCAGUCUAGUGGCGCGGUUCGUCAGGCAGGGGCAGUUGAGUUGAUAUCCCGUCGACGUGCGGAGAGCAGUGGAGGUACUUGUGAGGGGUCCGGCUCGUCCGGGCUCGUGCGCUCUCCCUAUUCUCUGGGCGCGGACGUUCAAGGCUUUCUAGACUAUGGCGGCAUUGCCCAUCACGGCUCGUUGUGAGGUCACCCACAGGCUCAACUGCCGAUCGCGCUGUUCUCCUUGCAAGCGCUGUUGUGUGUCGAAGACCCCCUUUUGGCUAUGAGAUAGUGGCGGGGCAUGACACGUGCUGCAAGGCCUCUAAUGAACCGGGCGGCAAUCGAGAUAAAUCCCUGGUUUGAUCCUCGUGCGACGAGCCGCUUUCUGGCCAGAUGGACAUCCAGGCUUCGCUCAUGUGCCGAGCGAGGUCCACUCCAGGCGGUCUGAGCCCUCUGCUGUCUUCUAUUGGAGACAGCAUGGUCCUCCCAGCCGGGUGUCCAUCUGUGUGGUGUUAAGUCCAGCACCAUCGGUCACGUCUCGAAACACGGGCCAAGGAGUAUAGCAUGUGUGCAAGUCUAAGGGUUCCACAAAACCCGAAGGCGAAGUGAAAGCAAGGUUGUGGCGGGUGCGCUUCGGCAAUCCCGUCAGCCGGUGUCGGUGGUGGUCUCCUCGGAGGCUGCUGUUGCCCGGCUUAUGACAGAGCUGAUCUUGCUAUGACGGAUAAGUCCUGAGGCAGGCGCAAGCUCCGGGCUCGCUUACAACACUGGUCGCUUGCGGCUGUGUUGCGAGCACCGUGUAGCAUGCAUGCUAUGACCCGAAAGAUAGUGAACUAUGCCUGGCGAGGGCGAAGCCCCAGGAAACUGGGGUGGAGGCCCGUAGCCGUUGUGACGUGCAAAUCCAUGGUA
rnacentral:rRNA from 1 species